AUUGAACGCUGGCGGCAUGCCUUACACAUGCAAGUCGAACGGCAGCACGGGAGCAAUCCUGGUGGCGAGUGGCGAACGGGUGAGUAAUAUAUCGGAACGUGCCCAGUCGUGGGGGAUAACGUAGCGAAAGCUACGCUAAUACCGCAUACGAUCUAUGGAUGAAAGCGGGGGAUCGCAAGACCUCGCGCGAUUGGAGCGGCCGAUAUCAGAUUAGGUAGUUGGUGAGGUAAAGGCUCACCAAGCCGACGAUCUGUAGCUGGUCUGAGAGGACGACCAGCCACACUGGGACUGAGACACGGCCCAGACUCCUACGGGAGGCAGCAGUGGGGAAUUUUGGACAAUGGGCGCAAGCCUGAUCCAGCAAUGCCGCGUGCAGGAUGAAGGCCUUCGGGUUGUAAACUGCUUUUGUACGGAACGAAACGGUGAGCUCUAAUACAGUUUGCUAAUGACGGUACCGUAAGAAUAAGCACCGGCUAACUACGUGCCAGCAGCCGCCGUAAUAC
rnacentral:rRNA from 1 species